UACGGGGGGGGCAAGCGUUGUUCGGAAUUACUGGGCGUAAAGGGCUUGUAGGCGGCCAACUAAGUCCGACGUGAAAUCCCCAGGCUUAACCUGGGAACUGCGUCGGAUACUGGAUGGCUUGAGUUCGGGAGAGGGAUGCAGAAUUCCAGGUGUAGCGGUGAAAUGCGUAGAUAUCUGGAGGAACACCGGUGGCGAAGGCGGGUCUCUGGGCCGUAACUGACGCUGAGGAGCGAAAGCGUGGGGAGCGAACAGG
rnacentral:rRNA from 1 species